rnacentral:rRNA from 1 species
AUGCAACAGGUAACAGACUUGUAUGUUGAUCUUUCCAUAGAGAUGCAUAUGCUUCAGUGUCCAGAGAAGGAAUGCCGUGGUGCCAAUAGUGACCAUGGUGUCAAUUACACUAUGGAUGGCCAUGCGCAUAACAACUUCUGGUUGCAAGAGGCUACCAUGGAAGGAGCCGACUUUUUAUUUGGUUGUCCAUUAGAGAGUAUGCAAACCAUGGACACCCAGCAGGAGGUGCCGAUGGUAGAGCAGAACAAGGUGGUGUUGGAGAAUAAGAUGCGCAUCCAUCAACCAGUGCUUGGACCACGUGCCAAGGGGUUUUGGACCCCAGAUGAACACAGGCUCUUUCUCCAUGGCUUGAGCGUAUGUGGCCGUGGCAAAUGGAAGGACAUAUCAAAGCACUUCGUCACUAGUAGGACUCUGGCUCAGAUUUCAAGCCACGCACAGAAGUACUUCAUGAGGAUAAGGAGCAAAGGGUCGAGAAGCCAAUGCUACAGCAUCAACAACGUGGAACUCAAUGAUGCUGACCCAUGGAAAAUGGAG